rnacentral:rRNA from 1 species
GAUGAACGCUGACAGAAUGCUUAACACAUGCAAGUCGAUGGGGAAGUGGUGCUUGCACCAUGGUAACCAUGGCGGACGGGUGAGUAACGCGUAAGGAACUUGCCUGCGGGACUGGGAUAACAGCAGGAAACUGCUGAUAAUACCGGAUAAGGUCAUUAAGCUGCAUAGCUUAGUGAUGAAAGGAGACGCCUGCGGAGAGCCUUGCGUCCUAUUAGCUAGUUGGAGGGGUAACGGCCCACCAAGGCGAAGAUAGGUAACCGGCCUGAGAGGGUGGACGGCCACAAGGGGACUGAGAUACGGCACUUACUCCUACGGGAGGCAGCAGUGGGGAAUAUUGGACAAUGGGGGCAACCCUGAUCCAGCAAUUCUGUGUGCACGAAGACGGUUUUCGGAUUGUAAAGUGCUUUCAGCAGGGAAGAAGGAAGUGACGGUACCUGCAGAAGAAGCGACGGCUAAAUACGUG